AUUUAAUUCAACAUCGAGGUCACAAACUUAAUUAUUAAUAAGAACUCGCCAAUUAAAUUAUGCUGUUAACCCUAGAGUAAUUUCAUUUAACAACCUUACUAUUUAAAAAUCUUUUUUUUCAAUAAUUACCCCAAUUAAAAAUUUAAAAUUUUAAACUUCUAGGGUCUUCUCGUCCCAAAGAUUAAUAAAGACAUUUUUAUCUUUAAUUUAAAUUCAAAUUUAUUAAUAAAAACUUCCCCUUCAUAUUUCAACCCUUCAUUCCAGUCCCCUAUUAAAGAA
rnacentral:rRNA from 1 species